CCACCUGUGUGUAAUCUCCCCGUGUUUCUCUGUGUGUAUUUAAGUCGCGUCUUCUGUCUUUGUGGGGGCUGGUCUGUCUGUGUAUCCGCCAUGUUCCACUUGUGUGUCUGGUGUUAGAAUUUUAGUUUGUAAAUAGUUGUAAAUAGUCUGGUCAAGUCGCAAUCGUGUAUUUUGUUCACCUUGUACAUAUUUUUCACUGCAGCAGCCUAGUAGGCGUGAGAAGCCAUUUUUGUUUAAGUUUUCUCCUGUUUUUUGUUAGAAAGUUAGGUAAGUGGAUUGUCUUUUGGUUGGUUUUUAUUUUGUGUAGGACAGCAUAGGGACCAGUAGGGAGUUUUGUUUGUUAUUUUUGGCAUUGCUCACAGCUGAAGCAAAAUAAAUGGCUGCUUAGCACUUUAAAAGGAUAUUGUUGUUUGUGUGUUUGCUUGGGUGGUGUGUGAGUGGGCCAACUUCUUGUUGCGUUCAUACACGCCUAGACAAAGAACGUAACACUAUUACUGUGAAUGUGUUUGUGAGUUUGCUUAAAUAUUCUUUGAUGUUGCGGACGUUAGCAUGCAGGCUUCUGUGGUUUAAGUGGACAAUUGAUAUUUUACCAUCUACCUUGAUAGUUCUGUAAAACAGGUCAUCCCUGUGAUAAAAGCAGGUAUUAAUGGUGCUGUUAAAAAAAGUGAAUUUCUGGGUCAUUUGUUCCUCAUCAACUGUGGUGCACAGAGCACUGAAAAGACUCCAAGCUUGGACUUCCUUUAAUUCUUCAAAACCCGUGCAUUCCUGGCAGUGUAUGCAUUUCACUUCAUCAGCCUGAUGUUGUUUAUAUACUAAAGGAAUCCUGUCGCCUGUUCCUCUGCAGAGUUUAUAUCCGACUCACUGGGUUCCCUCCAUUUUCGAGGUGAAUUUGCUUAUCCUUCUCAGCAAUCUGUAUCAGUAGAUCCACCAAUUCCAACAUACUUUUGUGUUAGAGAUGGACCUUCUUCUUUGGCUUCAUAUAUGCUGAUACACCUGACGGGUGUUCUCGGGAUGACUUAGAGGAUUUCUGUAGCUGAAGUCCAGUCUAAUGGGAAAUGGACCGGUUCUCAUAUAGCACUUUAUUCAACUUCACCCAUAUUCACACAAGCACUUUUUUCUCUACAAGUAAGUGCUUUCACACCCCAAUGAAAGCAUCACAGAGGAUCUCCCAAUUAGGAGAUAUACUACACAACAUCCUAACCCACAGCAACCAGAGGAGCAAAUAGUCUAUUCAUUCAAGACUGGUAUCAAGCUCUAGUGCUAGCAUAUUCUGAUCUCCAAGGAAACAAAGUAACCUUUAUUUAAAGCUUCCUUCUACUUGGAAGGUACAAUAUAGUCUUGAUUAAGGGGAAGCCCAUUUUGAAGAAAUGUAAAUUAAUUGCCAAAUUCAUAAGUCAUAAAUGAACACAUAAACUUUCUUUUAAUAUUCACUCUUAGCUCAAGUUGCUUGAUGAGUUUCUCAGUGUUUAACAGAAAUAUUACAGAGAUAUUAAGCUCUUAGGAAAGAUGACAUACUAGUAAUAUUGCUUCUGUAAAGUGUCCAGAGUAAAAGCAAGUGAAGGCUAUAUAUGAAAAUUAAAGAAGGUGACUGUUGUUGUGAUUUGGCCCUAAAUAAAUAACUUUGAAUUGAAUUGAACUGAAUUUAACAUAAGAAGAGAAGAGGGGAAGAAAGCCAGAGAGGAGACACACAUUCUGAAUGGUUAGUGGUAAACCAUCACUGUUGGUUUUUAAGGUGUGUGUGUGUGUGUGUGUGUGUGUACGUAAGUGAGUCCAUCUGUGCUAGCCACAGCACAGUGAUGGUUUGGCAGGGAAGAGAAGGCAGCUGGCCGGACUGAACUAGGGUGGGACCGAGCAGUAGUGCCAAAGGACAGACGAGAAGUGUGUUUAAGUGUGUAUAAAGCACAUCUGUACUUUGGUAGUUCUGGUACUGUAUUUUAUGUUUGCUGUGCAGAGUUUUUUUAUGUAUCUGUAGCUGCAUGGGCCCAGUUAGUCCUGAGAAACAACCAGCACCCAUCAACACCACCUCAUUGUGAGACACAACUAAGGCCAAUCAAGGCAAAGCCUCGGUAAAGUUUUCAGUGCAAAAACAAGCAAAAACAUUUACGCAAAAUCUUGGUAGAAAUGUGGCGCAUGGGCAGAUCAAGGCCCC